rnacentral:rRNA from 1 species
ACUCAAAGGAAUUGACGGGGGCCCGCACAAGCGGUGGAGCAUGUGGUUUAAUUCGAUGCAACGCGAAGAACCUUACCUACCUUUGAAUCCACGGAAUCUUACAGAGAUGUAGGAGUGCCUUCGGGAACCGUGAGACAGGUGCUGCAUGGCUGUCGUCAGCUCGUGUCGUGAGAUGUUGGGUUAAGUCCCGUAACGAGCGCAACCCUUAUCCUUAGUUACCAGCGAGUAAUGUCGGGUACUUUAAGGAGACUGCCGGUGAUAAACCGGAGGAAGGUGGGGAUGAGGUCAAGUCAUCAUGGCCCUUACAGGUAGGGCUACACACGUGCUACAAUGGCCGAUACAAAGGGUUGCCAACCCGCGAGGGGGAGCUAAUCCCAAAAAGUCGGUCGUAGUCCGGAUUGGAGUCUGCAACUCGACUCCAUGAAGUUGGAAUCGCUAGUAAUCGUGGAUCAGAACGCCACGGUGAAUACGUUCCCGGGCCUUGCACACACCGCCCGU